ACGCCCCUCAAUCACCAACCAUCCGAUUGCCCAUAUACAACUGAGACAGAACGAGUGAGACAGAACGAGAAAGAUGUGAGAUAAGGGAGUCGAUGACGGAGAUGGCUGCGAAAAGUUCCAGUGGUUAGAGGCGGCGGCGGUUAGCCGCCAUGAAACAUGGUAUCAAUAGUCUUUUCUUUAUCAGAAUCGCUAUCGGGUGGGCUAAGUUCCAGGGUUCCGGCCGCCGUUUAACUGAAGGUAAUGACGAUUAAGAAGGCAAUGAUGGAGGUUCUGGUUAUAGGGAUGGCCGUGACUUCAGAAACGAACUCCGGUCAUUCAACUAGGGUUACAGCAAGGCAGCAAGCUUACGGCGUCUUUUUACACUAUAAGUUUGGUUUUCUUGAAGGUUCAAGGACCGAUGAUGAUGGUAUCGGGCAAGAAAGGGAUUAGAAGAUAACAUUCAGGGCAGGAUCAGCAUGUGAUCAGGUUCAAAUGUUGCAGCAGGUUUGCUUGCUUUCAUUUAUAGUUUUGAGUGUUUGGAAUUCACUACAAACAAUUUACUUGCACAUAACAUUUUGUAUCAAAGUUGCUUUUAAUUUUCUCAAAAAAGAAACCUCCUGCUAAUGGCGAAUUAAGUGUUGCCCCUUCACCAUUCCCACAUCCUAUGUUAUCAAUUUUCCCUGUAUCAGGGUAGCUUCCUGCCUAAAACACCAUAUAAAUACUAAAUUAAUUUGUUAAACUGCAUUUUGAAACUAAAUAAAUAAACAAAUAGAUGUAUGUCUGUUGCCUACUUGGUGUGUUGAAAAAAAGAAUAUGUUUGGAUCAUCAUAAAAUGCGUCAUUAGUCCCAUUCUCAUGAUGGACAUCAAAGUCGAUGAUAAAAAACACGUUUUAGUCCAUGGACCGUUGAGCAUAUCGAGUUAAAAUAGUUACAUCAUAUAAAACUUUUUUCAGUGACAAAAAACAAUAAUCCUAGAUGUGGCAAUUUUAAUAUUAUCUUUAGUCUAAAUGGAACGGGUCAAAUAGGUCAGCUUUUAUCGGAUAAUAUGUAUUGUUAGGCAUUACCACAUGAUCAACCAAGGAUAGGCCUGCUCCUGCAGCAAUCAAGGACUCCUGAAAUGUCUGCAUUGUUGAUGUGGCGUAUGUAGGUCCAAAGUCUUCAAUGCAUAUAAAGCCUUGGUCUAAAACCUGCUCCAUUGCCUAAUGUAUUUGUAUUUACGGCACAUAUUUACAUGGUGUUAGUGAGAAUCAAAAAAUGUAAACAUUGAACGAACAUGGCAUGGGAAGCAUCAUAGCUUUCCUUUAUAGGUAAGUGAAUUGCAAAAAAAUGGGUUGACUGGUCAAACGGUCCAAAGAAGUCAGAUCAGAUUGGGGCAGCCCAUCAAUUGUUUUUUCCUCUUUAACAAUAUUUGCCUAUUUUGAAAUCCAUAAAUAAUCAAAACUGUAAUUCUGUAAAUAGCUAGCAUAAGACUAUGGGGUGUGGAGGGGCUUGGGUUGGGGGCAUUGCUCGACACAUGGCGAGGGUGGGAUCCACAAGCUAAAACUCAAAAAUUAGGGGUGUGGUGGGGCGUCCCUUAGCUGGUCGUGGCCAGCCAUGUGGAAUUUUUUUUUAAACUAUUUAAAAUUUCAUUUUAUAAAAAUAACACACUAAUUAUACUUCUAUUAAAUUUAGAAGCUUUUGAACUGUAAUUAGGGGUAUUUUAGGAAUUUCAAUAUAAAUGACACGUUGUUGCCUCUCAAUACCUCCACCGCUUCAUCUUUGCUUUAUCCUGCAACACGUUAGGGUUCACCCUCUCAUGAAAAUCCAUCUGAAUCAAUACCUCAAUUCUCCAACGGGUGACUGAACUACCAGAUGGUUCUGAGACGAUUUGGUAUUCUCUCACUCUCUCAUGCUUAAUCCGACCGGCAAAUCUUCAUCGACCAGCGGUGGUGGGGAAUCAAACAUCCGUCUCCAUAAUAUGCUUCCUUUAUGCCUCAAAAUCGAUUUUCUCAAUAUGAAUUUCAACGGCCAGACCAAUUCCAAGAUUGCUUCAGAUUAAGAGAGAGAGAGAGAGAGAGAGAGAGAGAGAGAGAGAAACUUAGAGUUUGAGCAGGAGAGAAAGAGGGGCCGGAUUCCUCACAUAGGUUAACCUUCUUCGGUUGGAUUUCGAUUUCUACAACCAUUGUAAAGAUGAUAAUGAUGUGCUGCAAGUGAACGAUAGUGACACAGGCAAGUUCUAUGGUCUUUGUAGUUGCAUUUUCGAUUAUAUUUUAUUGUUCCAACUAAAUUUGGUGCGUGUGUUGAUUUCCUGCAAUUUAUUCUUUGUUUG